rnacentral:lncRNA from 1 species
CGUCACCUGAGCAAGGUAGCCUGAGACAAGAUAAGCCAGCGCCCACAAGCAUCCCCUGGAGCUGCCAAGGAGCUCCCCCAAGCCCCUCACCUGCACUGCCCCUGUGUCCGGUCUGCUGAAGGAGCCACCGUCAAGACAGGGCUGGCACCCAAGGGCCCCAGCACAAGCUACAAAGGCCUCCCAGACUGACUCUCCCACAAUGUGCACACAAGGACAGGACCUCCACCCAGUUCACUCCUCGGCUGGAGACACUAGGUGUCCUGCCCCUAAUCUCACCAGAGCCACCUCAUAAACCCUGCAAGCUCUGCGAAGGGCAGCUGGGCACAGCUGAAAGCCCAGCCACCAGCCCAUGUCCUGGGUGGGACUGGGCAGGAGGGGCCACCUCCUACUGCUGAUCAACCCGAGAGCCCUGGCUGGGAUCCGUCUUCCUUCACCAACGGGAGCUCCGGCCCCAGGGCCCUGCCCACCUCUGUGCACCCCACACUGCAGCAGGGAGCACCCUGCAGGGAGGAACUGGGCACCCUGCAGGGGUCUGGUGGAGACGAGGAUGCUACGGAGGCAGCUGCCCCAUGGGACCAGUAAGAGGGAUCUUGGGUGGGCUUCCCUGCAGAGAGGAAGCCCUCAGGAGACACCACAGUAAGCCAUGCUGGAGACCUGGAGGCCAGGCCCGUCACCUGGGGAGCUGGCCACUAACAGCGGGCAGAGAGCCUCCCAGGACAGCCAGCACAGCCCCCCACACGUCCGAGCCCAC